rnacentral:rRNA from 1 species
CGGAGGGGGCGAGUGUUGUUCGGAAUUACUGGGCGUAAAGGGCGCGCAGGCGGCCUGGCAAGUCGAGUGUGAAAUCCCUUGGCUUAACUGAGGAAUGGCGCUCGAAACUACCUCGCUGGAGGGCGGGAGAGGGAAGUGGAACUCUCGGUGUAGGGGUGAAAUCUGUAGAUAUCGAGAGGAACACCGGUGGCGAAGGCGGCUUCCUGGCCCGUACCUGACGCUGAGGCGCGAGAGCGUGGGGAGCAAACAGGAUUAGAUACCCUGGUAGUCCACGCCCUAAACGAUGGGCACUAGGUGUGGGCGGUAUUAAUCCCGCCUGUGCCGUAGCUAACGCAUUAAGUGCCCCGCCUGGGGAGUACGGUCGCAAGGCUG